rnacentral:rRNA from 1 species
UACGUAGGGUGCGAGCGUUGUCCGGAAUCAUUGGGCGUAAAGAGCGUGUAGGCGGCCCGAUAAGUCCGCCGUGAAAGUCCAGGGCUCAACCCUGGAAUGCCGGUGGAAACUGUCGGGCUGGAGUCCGGAAGAGGCGAGUGGAAUUCCUGGUGUAGCGGUGAAAUGCGCAGAUAUCAGGAGGAACACCAAUGGCGAAGGCAGCUCGCUGGGACGGUACUGACGCUGAGACGCGAAAGCGUGGGGAGCAAACAGG